rnacentral:misc_RNA from 1 species
CCAAACUUGGUCAUUUAGAGGAAGUAAAAGUCGUAACAAGGUUUCCGUAGGUGAACCUGCGGAAGGAUCAUUACCGAGUACCGGAGCUCUAGGGCUCCUACUCCCACCCUAUGUUGACUUUAAACGUUGCUUUGGCGGACCGGCUCGCGCCGCCGGCCCUCGCGCUGGACAGCGUCCGCCGGAGGAUUUUUAAACUCUGUUUAACGGUGAAUUCUGAGUAUCUUGAGAAUUGAAUCAAAACUUUCAACAACGAAUCUCUUGGCUCUCGCAUCGAUGAAGAACGCAGC